rnacentral:rRNA from 1 species
GAUGAACGCUGGCGGCGUGCUUAAGACAUGCAAGUCGAACGCAGUCUUCGGACUGAGUGGCGCACGGGUGAGUAACACGUAACUGACCUACCCCCAAGUCGCGAAUAACCAGCCGAAAGGAUGGCUAAUACGUGAUGUGAUGAUCCGCUGUGGCGGAUCAUUAAAGACUUGAUCGCUUGGGGAUGGGGCUGCGUUCCAUCAGCUAGUUGGUAAGGUAAAGGCUUACCAAGGCAACGACGGAUAGCCGGCCUGAGAGGGUGGCCGGCCACAGGGGCACUGAGACACGGGUCCCACUCCUACGGGAGGCAGCAGUUAGGAAUCUUCCACAAUGGGCGCAAGCCUGAUGGAGCGACGCCGCGUGAGGGAUGAAGGUUCUCGGAUCGUAAACCUCUGAACCAACGACGAAAGACCCGACAAGGGAGAUGACGGUAGUUGGGUAAUAGCACCGGCUAACUCCGUGCCAGCCGCCGCCGAAAUAC